rnacentral:rRNA from 1 species
GAUGAACGCUGGCGGCGUGCUUAACACAUGCAAGUCGAGCGGUAAGGCCCUUUCGGGGGUACACGAGCGGCGAACGGGUGAGUAACACGUGGGUGACCUGCCCUCAGCUCUGGGAUAAGCCUGGGAAACCGGGUCGAAUACCGGAUAUGACUCCAUGACGCAUGUUGUGGGGUAGAAAGCCUUGUGCGGCUGAGGAUGGGCCCGCGGCCUAUCAGCUUGUUGGUGGGGGAUGGCCUACCAAGGCGACGACGGGUAGCCGGCCUGAGAGGGCGACCGGCCACACUGGGACUGAGACACGGCCCAGACUCCUACGGGAGGCAGCAGUGGGGAAUCUUGCGCAAUGGGCGAAAGCCUGACGCAGCGACGCCGCGUGAGGGAUGACGGCCU